rnacentral:ncRNA from 1 species
UGAAUAUUUUAUUCAUGUAUUUUGAUUUAAUUUUAUUAAAAUAUAUAUAUAAGUUAUUUCUUGAUGUUUUAUUUUUAAAUAAAUAAUAAUAUUAUUUUUAGUUUAUAGUUUUGGUUUGAUUUACAAAAGUAAUAUUCAUUUAUAAUAAUAAUUUUAUAACAAAAAUUGUGCCAGCAGUUGCGGUUAUACAAUUAUAAAUAUUAAAUUUUAUUGGUUUAUAUUAAAUAUAUUUAUAUUGAAUAAAUAUAUAUAUUGUUUAGUGAAAUAUUAAUAUAUUAUUUUUUUAUAUAUAUUAUAAUAUAUGAAAGUUAAUUAUUAAACUAGGAUUAGAUACCCUAUUAUUUUAAUUGUAAAUUUAUAACCUAAUUAUUAAUAGUUAAGAUCUUAAAAUUUAAAGGAUUUGGCGGUAAUUUAGCUUUUCAGAGGAACCUGUCCUAUAAUUGAUAAUCCACAAUAAAUUUUACUUUUAUUAUGCUUAUAUACCUCUAUCAUUGAAUAUCUUAAUAAGGUUAUUUUCUAUAUGGUUUUUAAUCAAAAUGUUAGGUCAAGGUUUAGUAAUAUAAAAGUAGAGAUGGGUUACAUUAUUUAUAUAUAAAAAGGAUAAUAUUAUGGAAAUAUAUUUGAAUUUGGAUUUGAUUGUAAAUUUUUGUUAAAAAAAAGAAUUGAUAUUGGCUCUAUAUUAUGUACAUAUCGCCCGUCGCUCCUACAUUGUAGGAUAAGUCGUAACAAAGUAGAUUUAUUGGAAAAUGAAUCUAGAAUGAC